rnacentral:RNase_P_RNA from 1 species
GUGCAACAAGAGGAAAGUCCGGACACCGUAGAGCAGAGUUCCUCAUGAAAAUGAGGGCACAGCAUAGGAAUGUGUUGUGACGGAUAGUGUCACAGAAAAUAAACCGCCCUGAUAUUUAACAAUCAGGGUAAGGGUGAAAAGGUGAGGUAAGAGCUCACCGCUUUAAAGGUAACUUUAUUGGCAGGAAAAACCCAACUCGGUGCAAGGCAAAAUAGGGAAUCAAGUGGCUCGCUUUAUGAUUUCGGGUAUGCCGCGUAGAUAAAUGAACGCACAUCUAGUCCAUCUAGAGGACAGAAUCCGGCUUACAG